AAAACACAUCUCGCUACUCUCUCUCUCUCUCUCUCUCACUCUGCCCUAACUCCAAACCCCAUGAAUGGCGAUCAAAGCUCGCCCAAACCCCACUGCUCGCCCCGAUCCCUCUUCUCUAAGUUCUGGUCAUCGACGCAACACUCCACCCCAAUCCCAGCUCUCCUUUCGCUCCCGUUCUCUUCUCCGUUCGGGCCAAGCUCAGCCCCUAACAUUGUCGUUUCUGCUCAGGCCAAGCUCGCACAAAAUAACCCUAUAUAUUCAGCCUCUCUUCUUUGACGAGGGUAGAAAGCUAGAGCACCAGGGUAGUGGUCUUGAACCUGUUUUGGUUGCUGCAAUCCCUACCAUGAAAUUCAACCAUGAGGCCUUCAGUUCUAUAGAAGAGACACAGACAUGGCAGAAAAGCUCACACAGCAACUUUUAAAUCAUUUGGAACACAGAGAAAGGACAAGAAAGAUAAAGAAAAAGAAUGUGUUCGGUAAAAAAGACCAGCAGGUCACUGAGUCCUACGAAGGCGAGGAUCGCAGAUGUAGAACGAGCUUCUUGGUCGGGGUUUUACUUCCAAAUGUAAAUCGUUGAUUAAAUUGACCAAGACUUGAAUUGAUUUUAUAAGGAGAAAGGAAAAUGCAACUCAGAAAUUUUUGAAGAAAGAUGUUGCUGAUCUACUUGCCAAUGGCCUUAUCAAUGCUUAUGGAAGGGUAUUUUGAUUCGUUUCCAUCUUUUGUGCUUUGCUUUUGAUUCACUUAUCUUACCGUUUUUUAGCUGAGCGAAUUUCGUUAGAAAUGUAAUUUUCUUUCUUCUGUUUUGUUCUUGUGAAUAUUUAAAGAAAGAUAUAUUUGUAGUCUUUAGAAGAAAUUAAGAAGCAAGCUUGAGAUUCUGGUUAAAAUUUGUCUAUUGAAACAUUACUGUGUUAUUGUUCUAACUAACAAACUGAAAUGAUUCAAUAUGAAGAUAGUUUAAUUAUUUGAAGUAGAAAAAGGGUCAUGUGGGAGAAUACAGUGAAUAAAGAAGACAUUAAUUCGCAUAUUAGCUUUGUUGUGUGACCGUUGUGCUAGAACUCUAGUGGGAGUGGUAAGAGUAUUUACUUCUUUAAUUUGAAUCAGGUAGACAAUAGUAGAAUUUUAUGUGGACAUGUUACUACUGCCAUCUAUCUAUGCAUUUUUAUUUCACUGAAAUUUUAUGUUCUCAAUUCUCUAAGGUACCAAUUGUAUUACAUUGAUGAGUAAUUAAGGUACCAAUUUAGUAAAUUAUUAUAUAAAAUCAUUCUAUAAUUUGAUAAUAUAGGUGGAGAAAAUUACAAGAAAAAUUGUAAUUUUUCCUAACUUACAUUUAUGCUUCAUUUUAUAACUGACGCAAUAGGUGAAAAAAAAAGUAUUUCAGCAAUUUAUGUGUCAUUUUAUAACCGACGAUAUAACUUUCUAGUGGUGGUUUUGAAAUGCCACAAAUGAUUUUGCGUCAUUUCCAAACUGACGCAGAAAAUAUAAAAGAAGAAUGUAUAUUUUGCGACGGUUUUUAAAUGAAGCUAAUUGUUUUUUGCGUCAUUUUAAAAACGACGCUAAUAAAAAACUAUUUGCGACUACGGAAUAUACGUCGGUUUAAAAAACCGACGCAAAUUCUUUAAAUG